UUUAAUAGGCUAACAUUGCAAUUUCAACAUCAUAUCAUUGAACUUGCAUUAUAUAUUGAUUUCACAAAGUUAGUCCACAUAAAUUUGUUAGUGUUUAUAUUCAAACAACACACGUGACGGACCUGACUAAACCUCAUUGGUUCUUGGGAUUCAGUACGUCACAUUGGCUUCCUGAUUCAGUUGUUCGAUACACAACGUGGGUGAUCGUUGGUAAAUGUGGAUUAAAAGUUGAAACUAAAACUGUUAAAUUAUAUAUAGUGAUCAUCAGAGGACUUGGCUGAAACAACGCGAUUCACAUGGAUUACUUCGGCGAUGUUUUUUAUUGCUGUUGCGAUUAACUUUUUGAAAUGUGAGCAGUUUUUAAGUAGGUUAUCAAGUGGAUCUGACAUCGAGGGGAAAUAUACGUUUCUUGGAUUUCAUUAAAGUACAUCGGUUUUUGUUUGAAGAUGAAUGAGAGAACAUGAGGCACAGCGGCAUUCAAAUUGACCAAUCAGAGCCGAGAAUAUCUAAUAAGUCGAAGUAGAGAUGAACAGAUGAAGAUACAGCCCGUAAAAAUACUUAUUCUUGGUGAGUGCCAUGUAGCGACGGAUCAAACGGACACUCAUGUCAAGCUUGAUGAGGACACAGUCAAAGCUUUAAAAGACCUUGUGAUUAAGUCUUCAGUGUCUGAAUGGCAAGAAGAAGUGACCCUCCACUUAAACGUGACAUUUAAACUGCUCUGUGUUUUGGUUCAGCCAUUUG